GAGUAAUGUCUGGGAAACUGCCUGAUGGAGGGGGAUAACUACUGGAAACGGUAGCUAAUACCGCAUAACGUCGCAAGACCAAAGAGGGGGACCUUCGGGCCUCUUGCCAUCGGAUGUGCCCAGAUGGGAUUAGCUAGUAGGUGGGGUAACGGCUCACCUAGGCGACGAUCCCUAGCUGGUCUGAGAGGAUGACCAGCCACACUGGAACUGAGACACGGUCCAGACUCCUACGGGAGGCAGCAGUGGGGAAUAUUGCACAAUGGGCGCAAGCCUGAUGCAGCCAUGCCGCGUGUAUGAAGAAGGCCUUCGGGUUGUAAAGUACUUUCAGCGGGGAGGAAGGGAGUAAAGUUAAUACCUUUGCUCAUUGACGUUACCCGCAGAAGAAGCACCGGCUAACUCCGUGCCAGCAGCCGCGGUAAUACGGAGGGUGCAAGCGUUAAUCGGAAUUACUGGGCGUAAAGCGCACGCAGGCGGUUUGUUAAGUCAGAUGUGAAAUCCCCGGGCUCAACCUGGGAACUGCAUCUGAUACUGGCAAGCUUGAGUCUCGUAGAGGGGGGUAGAAUUCCAGGUGUAGCGGUGAAAUGCGUAGAGAUCUGGAGGAAUACCGGUGGCGAAGGCGGCCCCCUGGACGAAGACUGACGCUCAGGUGCGAAAGCGUGGGGAGCAAACAGGAUUAGAUACCC
rnacentral:rRNA from 1 species